GCCCAACCCAAGUGGAUCUUCAAGGUGUGAUAAGGGCUUUUCUGUGGCUUCUUCAUUACUGCGUGCGCAUUAGUCCAGCAAGCACAGCGCUUCCCUGGAGACGUGUUAAGUUUCCCCAAGGUGACCUGAGGAUGAAUUUGCCCAUGUCGUAUUUGCUGCUGCUUUUUAUCUGUUCAAAUAGUCAGCAGGUGGUUGUGGAUAAAUCCGGACGAUUGAGAUGGCUUUCAUAUGAGAUGGACAAGGGACAGCAUAUGGUCAAAAACCUCAAAAGGCAUUCAGAUGGAACAUUCACCAAUGACUUCACCCACUAUCUCGAUAGGAUUAAGGCUAAAGACUUUGUGGAGUGGCUGGCCAACCCCAGACAAGAAGGUUGAGCUGGAAAGUAACAUUUGUACAGACGCUGUUUCCUCGAUGAUGGUGAUAGGAUUUCAUGAGGGCUCUGUAGAAGUUAAUCGCUUUAUUUCUUCAAUAUUACUCCAUUUUUAUUUACAGGAUUAGAUUUUACAGCUGAAUGUCUCUUGUACUUAUGUAUAAAACAUUACAGAUGUUGUGAAGUCCUGUUUGACCUGUCAGUGCUUUACACCAUCUAGGAGCAUAAAAGAAGACUGCAGCAAAAGAUGUUGGUAUUCUAAAAUAAA